CACCGCGGUUAUACGAGGAACCCAAGUUGAUAGGCUGCGGCGUAAAGUGUGGUUAAGGAAAUAAUAUCUACUAAAGUCGAACACCUUCAGAGCUGUCAUACGCCCCCGAGAGCAAGAAGCCCUAGUACGAAAGUAACUUUAAGACACCUGAUUCCACGGAAGCUGUGAAA
rnacentral:rRNA from 1 species